GUGAAACCAAGAAACCCCCCUCUAUUCACGUGAACUUCUUCUCUCCUCCAUUACUUCAGCCGCCGUCGCGCCACCGCCUCACCACCGUCGGACUCCUCCUCGUCGCCGAACCACCGCGCGCGACACCAUCAACCGGCCACCACCACCAGUCGCACAACCACCGCGUCGCACUGCUGCUGCGGCGCCCUCCACGCACAACAGCACGCGUGCUCCUCUCUUCUUGUUCGUCCUCCCUUCUUCACGUAGUCGCAGCAACCCUCCAGCCACAACCUCCGCAAGCCGCCGCUGUCCCCACCGUGCGCAGCACCUGACCCGACCAGUGCUGCCGCCCAGUACCGCCGCUGCCGCGCCCUUCCGCCGGCCAGCAACUCCUCUCUUUCUUCUUUUGGCGGAGAAUUCUUUGUGGGCGACUUUUGAAUUCGUUAAAGUGGCCUAUCAGUUUGUUUACACAAGUCUCUAAGGAUCAAUAAGCAUUGUCCAUCUACAGGUUUG